rnacentral:rRNA from 1 species
GACGAACGCUGGCGGCGUGCCUAAUACAUGCAAGUCGAGCGGACUGAUUAAGAGCUUGCUCUUAUGACGUUAGCGGCGGACGGGUGAGUAACACGUGGGCAACCUGCCCUGUAGAUCGGGAUAACACCGAGAAAUCGGUGCUAAUACCGGGUAAUAUCUGAGAUCACAUGAUCUUAGGUUAAAAGAUGGCUCCGGCUAUCACUACAGGAUGGGCCCGCGGCGCAUUAGCUAGUUGGUAAGGUAAUGGCUUACCAAGGCGACGAUGCGUAGCCGACCUGAGAGGGUGAGCGGCCACACUGGGACUGAGACACGGCCCAGACUCCUACGGGAGGCAGCAGUAGGGAAUCUUCCGCAAUGGACGAAAGUCUGACGGAGCAACGCCGCGUGAGUGAUGAAGGGUUUCGGCGCGUAAAGCUCUGUUGUUAGGGAAGAAACAGUACCGAACGAACUAGGUCGGUACCUUGACGGUACCUAACCAGAAAGCCACGGCUAACUACGUG